rnacentral:rRNA from 1 species
GAUGAACGCUGGCGGCGUGCCUAAUACAUGCAAGUCGAGCGAACGGACGAGAAGCUUGCUUUUCUGAUGUUAGCGGCGGACGGGUGAGUAACACGUGGAUAACCUACCUAUAAGACUGGGAUAACUUCGGGAAACCGGAGCUAAUACCGGAUAAUAUUUUGAACCGCAUGGUUCAAAAGUGAAAGACGGUCUUGCUGUCACUUAUAGAUGGAUCCGCGCUGCAUUAGCUAGUUGGUAAGGUAACGGCUUACCAAGGCAACGAUGCAUAGCCGACCCGAGAGGGUGGACGGACACACGGGAUGUGAGACAGGGCGGACACACGGAGGGGGGGACACGGGCGGAACUCUUCCGGGAGGGAGCAGAGCGGAAGGGAGCACAGCGGGGUGAAUGAUGAAGCUCUGAGGCCCGUAAAACUUUGUAAUAAGGGAAGAAAAAAUGUUUAAGUAGCUGGGAAGACCAUGACGGUACCUAAGAAAAAAGCCACGGCUAACUACGUG